UCGCGCUCGCGGAGAGGUGCCUUCCGCAAGCCAGGUUCGCGCGCGACGCGGGCCCGACGUCCCCCGUCCCACUGCGGUGGGAGUGCCCAGCCUGGGAUGCCGCCGCUGCUCGGGCGCUCGGGGGCAGCGGGGAGAGUAGGGAGGGUCUGGACUCUGGACGCAACCUAGGUUGCCGCUAGAGGGUGACGCCUAGAUCGGAAGCUAAGGUCCCUGAAACUGGGGAGCCUCGAGCAGGUUUUUUCCCUUGGCAAAACCGGGAAAUUUAAAUUGCAAGGUUGCUUGGGACGUGUCUGUGUAGGCUACAGGAGACAGCGGACGCCAAAGACUAUGCAGUAGUGUGAAGGGG